AGAUUAUUGAUAAAUUAGUAUUAUACAUUAUUAUAAAAUAUUAAUAAUUAAUAUUAAUAAUUUAUAUUAUAUAUAUAACCUAUUUAAUAAAUUUUAGUAUAAAAUUAUCAAUAUAAUUAUUUAUUAAAGACUACUUCAUAUUUUAUAUGCUUUCAAUAUUUAUUAUUUUUAAACUUAACUUAACUACUAUGUUUAUAUUAUUUAUUAUAAAUUAAUAAUGAUUAA
rnacentral:tRNA from 1 species